AUUGAACGCUGGCGGAAUGCUUUACACAUGCAAGUCGAGCGGCAGCGCGGGGCAACCUGGCGGCGAGCGGCGAACGGGUGAGUAACACAUCGGAACGUGCCCAGGAGUGGGGGGAUAGCCCGGCGAAAGCCGGAUUAAUACCGCAUACGAACUGAGGUUGAAAGCGGGGGACCGAAAGGCCUCGCGCUCGUGGAGCAGCCGAUGGCAGAUUAGGUAGUUGGUGGGGUAAAGGCCCACCAAGCCUGCGAUCUGUAGCUGGUCUGAGAGGACGACCAGCCACACUGGGACUGAGACACGGCCCAGACUCCUACGGGAGGCAGCAGUGGGGAAUUUUGGACAAUGGGCGCAAGCCUGAUCCAGCCAUUCCGCGUGCAGGACGAAGGCC
rnacentral:rRNA from 1 species